rnacentral:rRNA from 1 species
AUACGGAGGGUGCAAGCGUUACUCGGAAUCACUGGGCGUAAAGGACGCGUAGGCGGGAUGCCAAGUCUGAUGUGAAAUCCUAUGGCUCAACCAUAGAACUGCAUUGGAAACUGGUAACCUAGAGUAUGGGAGGGGGAGAUGGAAUUAGUGGUGUAGGGGUAAAAUCCGUAGAUAUCACUAGGAAUACCGAAAGCGAAGGCGAUCUCCUGGAACAUUACUGACGCUAAGGCGUGAAAGCGUGGGGAGCAAACAGGAUUAGAUACCCCAGUAGUCC